rnacentral:rRNA from 1 species
GUCGGUCGAAUCUUCGGCUUCGACAUAGACUUCUUAGAGGGACUUUGCGUAUCCAGCGCAAGGAAGUAUGAGGCAAUAACAGGUCUGUGAUGCCCUUAGAUGUUCUGGGCUGCACGCGCGCUACACUGAUGCAGUCAACGAGUUCACCUGGCCUGGUAAGGUUGGGGAAUCUUUUGAAUCUGCAUCGUGAUGGGGAUAGAUUAUUGCAAUUAUUAAUCUUCAACGAGGAAUUCCUAGUAGGUGCAAGUCAUCAGCUUGUACCGAUUACGUCCCUGCCCUUUGUACACACCGCCCGUCGCUCCUACCGAUUGAAUGAUCCGGUGAAUUAUUUGGACUGUGUAAGUCUCACUCGUGAGACAUGCGCGGAAAAUUUUGUGAACCUUAUCAUUUAGAGGAAGGAGAAGUCGUAACAAGGUUUCCGUAGGUGAACCUGCAGAAGGAUCA